rnacentral:rRNA from 1 species
CCUUAGAGUUGGAUCCUGGCUCAGAACGAACGCUGGCGGCGUGGUUGAUACAUGCAAGUCGAACGGGAAAGGGGGCUUCGGCCUCCGAGUACAGUGGCGGACGGGUGAGUAACGUAUAAUCAAUCUGCCUUCGAGACAAGGAUAGCCUUCCGAAAGGGAGGGUAAUACUUGAUAAGCCCACGGCGGGGCAUCCCGCUGUGCGAAAAGGAUUGGGAUCUUCGGACCUUUCGCUUGAAGAUGAGAUUAUAACCUAUCAGUUUGUUGGCGGGGUAACGGCCCACCAAGACGACGACGGGUAGCCGGCCUGAGAGGGUGGACGGCCACACUGGAACUGAGACACGGUCCAGACUCCUACGGGAGGCAGCAGUGCUGAAUUAUUCGCCAAUGCGCGAAAGCGUGACGGUGCGACGCCGCGUGCGGGACGAAGGCCUUCGGGUUGUAAACCGCUGUCAGGGAUUAGAAAACCUAUGCAGUUAACAGCUGUGUAGCUGAUCAGUCCCAAAGGAAGCACAGGCUAAUCUCGUGCCAGCAGCCGCGGUAAUACGAGAUGUGCGAGCGUUGUUCGGAAUCACUGGGCAUAAAGGGUGCGUAGGCGGUGUGCCAAGUCGGGUGUGAAAUCCCUUCGCUUAACGGAGGAACUGCACUCGAUACUAGCACGCUAGAGGGUCAAAGGGGCAAGCGGAAUUCUAGGUGUAGCGGUGGAAUGCGUAGAUAUCUGGGAGAACGCCAAGGGCGAAGGCAGCUUGCUGGGUGACAACUGACGCUGAGGCACGAAAGCUAGGGGAGCAAACAGGAUUAGAUACCCUGGUAGUCCUAGCCGUAAACGAUGAGCACUUUGUUCCGGGAAGCCUGAUCUUCUCGGAGCCGUAGCAAAUGUGUUAAGUGCUC